CAAUAGCGUAUAUUAAAGUUGUUGCAGUUAAAAAGCUCGUAGUUGGACCUUGGGCCUGGACGGGCGGUCCGCCUCACGGCGUGUACUGUCUUGCCGGGCCUUUCCUCUUGGUGAUCUGUUGUUUCGGCAGCAGGGAACCAGGACCUUUACUGUGAAUAAAUUAGAGUGUUCAAAGCAGGCUUACGCCGUUGAAUAUGCUAGCAUGGAAUAAUAAGAUAGGACCUUGGUACUAUUUUGUUGGUUUGCGCACCGAGGUAAUGAUUAAUAGGGACAGUUGGGGGUAUUCGUAUUGCAUUGUCAGAGGUGAAAUUCUUGGAUUUUUGCAAGACGAACGACUGCGAAANCANNNACCAAGGAUGUUUUCAUNAA
rnacentral:rRNA from 1 species